rnacentral:sRNA from 1 species
AAAGAAAGGGAUUUGCCUAAAAUCACACAACAGGUAAAAUGAGGCCAAGAUUGAAUUUAGUUAUUUGGAUCUCAGAAUCGGCUUUCCUAAUAGCAGCUUUUCCCCAUACACCUGCACUACUCUACAAGAGAAUCCACAGAGGAGCAAGGAACCAAUGAGUUUAGGUGGCUAGCGGGACACCAAGGAACCAGUGAGUUUGGGUUGCUAGAGCGACACCUGGGAAUCCCUCUGGCUCCUGUAACCACUGGUUCUCCAAAUGGGUUCCCUAGUAACAUCCCAGGAGCUAGUUAGAAAUGCCUGUGCCUGGACCCCACCCAGAGGUACAAGAUGUGGAACACAGGUUCCUCCAUGUUUCAAUCUACCGUGAAUUAACGAGCCACCAGGGAAAUUAUGCAUCAGUUGCUGAGGUGGAGAGUGAAUACUGUCAGGCACCAAGCCCCAGCAACCUAAGUCCAAUCCCUGGAGUCUAAAUAAUGGAAGAAAAGAACCAGCUACUAGACUGACUGUGAUCUCAAGAAAAGCUCGCAAGAAGCUAGCAUUGGGACGCAUAUCAGGUUUUGGUCAGGGAAUUAUCAAAUGUGAACCUUCUUUUAUAAUGCCUAACUAUAAUUUUGUCUAAUAAUAUUGACUGUUAAAUGGAUCAACCCUGUUAGCCUUUUAUUCCACGUGUCUUUGAGCCUUGAAAAAAAAAGUUGGCUUCCUUGUUGAGGGUGCUGUGGUCCAAACUUUCCCUACCCCAAACUUGUAUGCAUACCUGGGUU